GUGCACAUGAGGGUAGGUCGAUGAAUUUCCCCAAAAUCGAAACUUAAGACACUGAGUUUGCGCAGUAGGUCCAGUCAAGCCCGGUGACAGGCAGAACUAUCCGGUGUUCAGAGUUUAGGCGGGGAAGCGGAAGAAACAGCAGCCCGAAGAAAACCAGCCCGGAAAGUGGAACAAGGCUGUUUAUGUGUCUGCUUUUUGUCAAGACACAGGGUGUUUGGCAGCAGAUGGUUCCUUAUCAACUAAAGACACUACUGCUGAGGAUGUGAGAUGGAAGUCGAUAAGAAAGGUGAAACACCAACAUUGAUAAUCUGAUGGAAAGGAAAAGAAGAUCAUGGCUGACAAACUUGACCCAUCACCCGAGGUUUGGACCGAAUCUCAAGUCAGCACCUGGCUGAAAUCGAUUGGAGUGAAGGAGCAGUACAUAAAAAAGCUUUAUGAGGAAGAAGUAAACGGACAAAUCCUUCUUACAUUAAAUGAGGAGUUUUUAAAGGCUAAGAUUUGCAUGAAAUCAGGGCCUGCUCAUUUGAUCAUUCAAAAGAGAGAUGAGCUCACAAACCCAAAGCAACAAGAGGUUAAGCAAGAGAGGAAAAAGCCCACCAGUGGUAAAAACACUGAGUUGGAAUUGAAAUCAGUUCAGUGUGUUCCUACAGCAAGUGGAGGCCCUCCUGCACAGACUCAUGAGAGUCUUGAAGAUAUCUUAAAAGAGAGACAAACUUCAACUUCAAAGGAAGAUUGCAGACCUCGACCAUUUGAUCAAGAAGGGAUUGAUUUCAUGUAUGUAAAGCACAGAGUCCUGCAACCAGAAUCAGGUGCUUUUAAUCUGACAUCUCCAUGCCAUGAAUUUAAGUCAUUUGCCAUAGCUGCUGCAUUGGAUCGCACAAGACUCCAAGCUAAGUUUGCAAAAGAGGUCCUUAAAUUUGCCACUGGCUGUAUGAACAUUAGAUCAAAUGGUACAAUACACUUUGGUGUGAUGGACAGCAAGGAGGAUGCAGGUUAUGUGCAUGGUGAGAUAAUUGGUAUCCCUGUGAAAGAGAGAGAUAUUUUUGUAGAUGCUUUGGACUACAUUGAAAGAAGUGUCUGUUCUGAUAAGGAGCAUGUACGCCAGUGUGUGCGGCCUCCAAGGUUCAUUGAAGUUAUGGACAGGGAAAGUACAGAAAAGAAGUAUGUGGUAGAGGUUGACAUUGUGCCUUCUAUUAGUAUUGUUAAAAGCAAGGUGUAUGCAGUU